rnacentral:rRNA from 1 species
UCGAGGAUCUUCGGCAAUGGACGCAAGUCUGACCGAGCGACGCCGCGUGCGGGAUGAAGGCCUUCGGGUUGUAAACCGCUGUCAGUUGGGAGGAAAUCACAUGGGGUUCUCUCCAUGUGUUGACCUAUCUUCAGAGGAAGGACGGGCUAAGUUCGUGCCAGCAGCCGCGGUAAGACGAACCGUCCUAACGUUAUUCGGAAUUACUGGGCUUAAAGGGUGCGUAGGCGGCCCUGUAAGUUGGGUGUGAAAUCCCUCGGCUCAACCGAGGAAUUGCGCCCAAUACUGCAGGGCUAGAGGAAGAUAGAGGUGAGCGGAACUUGUGGUGGAGCGGUGAAAUGCGUUGAUAUCACAAGGAACACCUGUGGCGAAAGCGGCUCACUGGGUCUUUUCUGACGCUGAGGCGCGAAAGCUGGGGGAGCGAACG